rnacentral:tRNA from 1 species
UGGGGUAUCGCCAAGCGGUAAGGCACCGGUUUUUGAUACCGGCAUUCCCUGGUUCGAAUUCAGGUACCCCAGCCA